rnacentral:rRNA from 1 species
CCUACGGGUGGCAGCAGUAGGGAAUAUUGCUCAAUGGGGGAAACCCUGAAGCAGCAACGCCGCGUGGAGGAGGAAGGUAUUAGGUUUGUAAACCCCUUUUUUGAGAGAAGAUAAUGACGGUAUCCGACGAAUAAGCACUGGCUAACUCCGUGCCAGCAGCCGCGGUAAUACGGAGGGUGCAAGCGUUACUCGGAAUCACUGGGCGUAAAGCGUGCGCAGGCGGGCUUGUAAGUCAGAUGUGAAAUCCUGUAGCUUAACUACAGAACUGCAGUUGAAACUAGGAGUCUAGAGUGGGGGAGAGGUAGGUGGAAUGCUUGGUGUAGCGGUAAAAUCCGUAGAUAUCAAGAAGAACACUGAUUGCGAAGGCGACCUACUGGAACAUUACUGACGCUGAUGCACGAAAGCGUGGGGAGCAAACAGGAGUAGAUACCCGUGUAGUC